GAUGAACGCUGGCGGCGUGCCUAAUACAUGCAAGUAGAACGCUGAAGGAAGGAGCUUGCUCUUUCCGGAUGAGUUGCGAACGGGUGAGUAACGCGUAGGUAACCUGCCUGGUAGCGGGGGAUAACUAUUGGAAACGAUAGCUAAUACCGCAUAACAGUAGAUAUUGCAUGACAUCUGCUUGAAAGGGGCAAUUGCUCCACUACCAGAUGGACCUGCGUUGUAUUAGCUAGUUGGUGAGGUAACGGCUCACCAAGGCGACGAUACAUAGCCGACCUGAGAGGGUGAUCGGCCACACUGGGACUGAGACACGGCCCAGACUCCUACGGGAGGCAGCAGUAGGGAAUCUUCGGCAAUGGACGGAAGUCUGACCGAGCAACGCCGCGUGAGUGAAGAAGGUUUUCGGAUCGUAAAGCUCUGUUGUAAGAGAAGAACGAGUGUGAGAGUGGAAAGUUCACACUGUGACGGUAUCUUACCAGAAAGGGACGGCUAACUACGUGCCAGCAGCCGCGGUAAUACGUAGGUCCCGAGCGUUAUCCGGAUUUAUUGGGCGUAAAGCGAGCGCAGGCGGUUAGAUAAGUCUGAAGUUAAAGGCUGUGGCUUAACCAUAGUACGCUUUGGAAACUGUUUAACUUGAGUGCAAGAGGGGAGAGUGGAAUUCCAUGUGUAGCGGUGAAAUGCGUAGAUAUAUGGAGGAACACCGGUGGCGAAAGCGGCUCUCUGGCU
rnacentral:rRNA from 1 species